AAGCGGCACAGCUCAAAUUUGAAAUCUGGCCCCGUCGGGGUCCGAGUUGUAAUUUGUAGAGAGUGUUUCGGGUGAGACCACGGUCUAAGUCUAUUGGAACAUGGCGUCAUAGAGGGUGAGAAUCCCGUAUGUGACCGUGGCUCGAACCCAUGUGAAGCCUCUUCGACGAGUCGAGUUGUUUGGGAAUGCAGCUCAAAAUGGGUGGUAAAUUUCAUCUAAAGCUAAAUACUGGCUGGAGACCGAUAGCGCACAAGUAGAGUGAUCGAAAGAUGAAAAGCACUUUGGAAAGAGAGUCAAAAAGUACGUGAAAUUGUUGAAAGGGAAGCGCUUGCAACCAGACCUGUCCGUAGGUGAUCAGCCGCUGUUCUCAGUGGUGCACUCGCUCUGCGAUCAGGCCAGCAUCGGUUCCGGCGGUCGGAUAAAGGCCUUGGGAAUGUAGCUCCCUUCGGGGAGUCUUAUAGCCCUCGGUGCAAUGCGGCCAGCCGGGACCGAGGACCGCGCUUCGGCUAGGAUGCUGGCGUAAUGGUUGUAAGCGACCCGUCUUGAAACACGGACCAAGGAGUCUAACAUCUAUGCGAGUGUUUGGGUGUUAAACCCAUGCGCGGAAUGAAAGUGAACGGAGGUGAGAACCCUUUAGGGCGCAUCAUCGACCGAUCCAGAUGUCUUCGGAUGGAUUUGAGUAUGAGCAUAGCUGUUGGGACCCGAAAGAUGGUGAACUAUGCCUGAAUAGGGUGAAGCCAGAGGAAACUCUGGUGGAGGCUCGCAGCGGUUCUGACGUGCAAAUCGAUCGUCAAAUUUGGGUAUAGGGGCG
rnacentral:rRNA from 1 species